ensembl:processed_transcript C430002N11Rik RIKEN cDNA C430002N11 gene
GCCUCUGCUUCAGCUCCUGCCUCCAGGCUUCUGCCUUGAGCUCCUGAUCUGGCUUUUCUCAGUGAUGGACUGUAACUGAUCUGAGGCGACCCCUGAGGAAGAAUUGUUUGACCAUCCCAAAGGGAUCAAGGCUCACAGGUUGAGAACCGCUGCUCCAGCCCCUUCGGCUGUUUUUAUUGCAGGCAUUGAAUGAGCUUCGGCUUGGAUGUCAGACUCCCGUUCCACUUCAUAUGUCAGCAUGUCAGUCAUUCGAGGAGUGUCUACAAGCAAGUGACAGAAGGAGGUUCAGCCCUAACUUAUCUAACCCUCUUCAGGCUGAAGACAAAAAGAUAAGACUAAGACGAAGAUCCACCCUUCAUCCAGCUCUCCAGGAAUAACAGUAAUUGGAGGUAGAAUAAAGCAUUAGUCACAGACAGCUCCUGCUUAGGCUCUGAAACCUGU